rnacentral:rRNA from 1 species
AAUAGAUACCCCGGUAGUCCUAGCCGUAAACGAUGUAGACUAGGCGUUGGUGGAGUAAAAUUCAUCAGUGCCGCAGCAAACGCGAUAAGUCUACCGCCUGGGGAGUACGGCCGCAAGGUUAAAACUCAAAGGAAUUGACGGGGCCCCCGCACAAGCAGCGGAGCGUGUGGUUUAAUUCGAUGCUACACGAAGAACCUUACCAGGGUUUGACAUAUAAGUGGUAGGGAAGGGAAACCGGACCGACCCUUCGGGGAGCUUAUACAGGUGCUGCAUGGCUGUCGUCAGCUCGUGUCGUGAGAUGUUCGGUUAAGUCCGCUAACGAGCGCAACCCUCGCUGUGUGUUACAAGUGUCACACGGUACUGCCGGUCUUAAACCGGAGGAAGGUGGGGAUGACGUCAAGUCAGCAUGGCCUUUAUAUCCUGGGCUACACACACGCUACAAUGGGUAGGGACAAUUGGUUGCGAAACCGCGAGGUGGAGCCAAUCCGUAAAAACUCCCUCAGUUCAGAUUGCAGGCUGCAACUCGCCUGCAUGAAGUCGGAGUUGACG